AAUGCUACAAGCUUCCAGGACUGUGAAACAAGACAUUUCUUUGGUUCAAGCCACUCCCUUAGUGCACAUUGUUAUGGCAGCCAUGGAAAACCAUCCACAGAGGGUCAGUUCCUAUGGAGGUGGGGUGAGUGACGAGAUGUUCCUGACUGGGCUGACAACGGAGGACGAGAGAGCUUGGGUGUGGAUGGGAAAAUAACUAGAAACUUCCCUUGAUCUCUCAGCAUUCUGUUCCAUCCCUGUCACUUCGAUGUCUCUCUUUCUUGAAUAUGGAAGCAGCCCUGGGCCCAGCUGCUGCAGGUGGCCAGGAAGGAGCCUGGGAGGAUGACGGGGUUCCUGAUCUGAUAGAACUGGGCUGUGACUAGGCAGAACCCUGUUCCACCACACACACCCCAGUGGAGGACGUUCUGUAUCUGUGAUGAAUGACCCCUGCAUACAUUAUAUCUUUCAGUAAAAACAGUGGUGUUUCAGUAGUGUUACUAGCUAAGCUGCUUAACUCUCACAUUACAGACGUCAGUGAAGCCCCUUGGUAGGUAGUGUCUAAAAUUAGAUUUAUCUGCUUAUUUACACA
rnacentral:lncRNA from 1 species